rnacentral:rRNA from 1 species
GUGCGUAACGCGUAUACAAUCUGCCUUUCACAUAGGGAUAGCCCGAAGAAAUUUGGAUUAAUACCUAAUGGYAUAUAGKGRUGGCAUCACCUUUAUAUUAAAGCUGAGGCGGUGAAAGAUGAGUAUGCGUUCUAUUAGCUAGUUGGAGAGGUAACGGCUCCCCAAGGCGACGAUAGAUAGGGGUUCUGAGAGGGAUAUCCCCCACACUGGUACUGAGAUACGGACCAGACUCCUACGGGAGGCAGCAGUGAGGAAUAUUGGACAAUGGUCGGAAGACUGAUCCAGCCAUGCCGCGUGCAGGAAGACGGCCUUAUGGGUUGUAAACUGCU